AUGCACAUGCAUACACAGGACAUCUCUUCCCAGGGAGACUGGCCUGUUCAUGCCAGGAGGACGGUCUCCUGCAGGGGGCCACUCGGACCCGAGAAUCUGGGCCUUUGGAGGAGAAACCCCGAGCAUCUGUUCUGGAAAUCCCUGUUGGUGCUUCUCUGGACAUCUCUUCCACGUGUUUCCAGGGCAGAAAAUUGCAGAGGUUUUGCUAGCCACUCACUUCUUCCUCCUCCCUCUGCAAAUAAUCGUUGCUUGGAAAUUCUUACAAAGGAAGUGGUUGAGUUUGUAGCUGAGAGAUGUGGAGGUGAAGAGCAAGAAACCACCAGCCCACCCCAGACAGGCGGGUCACUGGGCGGGGCUUCCCCACCACCUCAGGGAGGCGUCCCUGCCCGGCACAGUCUGAGCAUAGCCAUGCCUGCCGCCGGGGCGCUGCUGGUCGUCUGCGGCCUGGUCCUGGGUGUCUUGGGGAAGCCUUCACCAGACUUUUGCUCCCAGAUCCUUAAGUCAGAUGUGAAACCAGGAUUUCCCAAGACCAUCAAGACCAACAACCCAGAUGUCCUCAGGGCGGCCCGACACAGCGCCGAGAGCUUCAACAACUGCAGCAAUGAUGCCUUCUUGUUCCGGGAGUCCCGCAUCAGCAGAGCCCUUGUCCAGAUAGUGAAAGGCCUGAAGUUCAUGCUGGACGUAGACAUUGGCAGAACCACCUGCAGGAAGAACGGGCAUGCAAACCUGGAUGACUGCGGCUUCCAGACCAACCGCACCCUGCAGUGGACCCUCAGCUGCUACUCUGAAGUCUGGGUCAUCCCCUGGCUGCAGACUACCGAGGUGUCCGUCCUCCAUUGUCACUGACCGCCGCCUCCCAGCUCUGUCCCUGCUGUCACCAGUCCUCGGGAACGGCAUCUGCCAGGAACAGAAUGGUGGCGCCAGGAGCCCACGGAUAGCCACGUCGUUGCUGGGAUGGGAAGCCGGUCUGCACAGAUGGGGCAAGUCCUCUGGUGCGAGUUACACGGGUUCUCAACCCCAAGGGCCCUCCAACCCGACUGCCCCGAGGUCCCAGGCCCUCGAGGAAAGCCCAGAGGGCCGUCCUUCAGGCUGAAUAAUCAUCCCAGCACUGGGCAGGGACCCGAUCAGCUCAGUAACGACCUCCAAGAUGAACACUUAGGAAGAAACCUGAAUAAAGAACUGACCCCCUCAAAGCUCUCCCUGGUG
rnacentral:lncRNA from 1 species